UGACGGAAGGGCACCACCAGGAGUGGAGCCUGCGGCUUAAUUUGACCCAACACGGGAAACCUCACCCGGCCCGGACACGGACAGGAUUGACAGAUUGAUAGCUCUUUCUCGAUUCCGUGGGUGGUGGUGCAUGGCCGUUCUUAGUUGGUGGAGCGAUUUGUCUGGUUAAUUCCGAUAACGAACGAGACUCUGGCAUGCUAACUAGUUACGCGACCCCCGAGCGGUCGGCGUCCCCCAACUUCUUAGAGGGACAAGUGGCGUUCAGCCACCCGAGAUUGAGCAAUAACAGGUCUGUGAUGCCCUUAGAUGUCCGGGGCUGCACGCGCGCUACACUGACUGGCUCAGCGUGUGCCUACCCUACGCCGGCAGGCGCGGGUAACCCGUUGAACCCCAUUCGUGAUGGGGAUCGGGGAUUGCAAUUAUUCCCCAUGAACGAGGAAUUCCCAGUAAGUGCGGGUCAUAAGCUUGCGUUGAUUAAGUCCCUGCCCUUUGUACACACCGCCCGUCGCUACUACCGAUUGGAUGGUUUAGUGAGGCCC
rnacentral:rRNA from 1 species